rnacentral:rRNA from 1 species
AAAACAACUUUUAACAACGGAUCUCUAGGCUCUCGCAUCGAUGAAGAACGUAGCAAAUUGCGAUAACUAUUGUGAAUUGCAUUUCGUGAAUCAUCAAGUUUUUGAACGCAUCUUGCACUCUGUGGUAUUCCGCAGAGUACACUUGUUUCAGU